UCCCUGGAGGACUAGUGGUUAGGCCACAGCGCACCCAUUGCUGCGAUCUGGGUUCGAUUCCCGGCCAAGGAC